rnacentral:rRNA from 16 species
UUAAAUUGAAGAGUUUGAUCAUGGCUCAGAUUGAACGCUGGCGGCAGGCCUAACACAUGCAAGUCGAACGGUAACAGGAAGCAGCUUGCUGCUUUGCUGACGAGUGGCGGACGGGUGAGUAAUGUCUGGGAAACUGCCUGAUGGAGGGGGAUAACUACUGGAAACGGUGGCUAAUACCGCAUAACGUCGCAAGACCAAAGAGGGGGACCUUCGGGCCUCUUGCCAUCAGAUGUGCCCAGAUGGGAUUAGCUUGUUGGUGAGGUAACGGCUCACCAAGGCGACGAUCCCUAGCUGGUCUGAGAGGAUGACCAGCCACACUGGAACUGAGACACGGUCCAGACUCCUACGGGAGGCAGCAGUGGGGAAUAUUGCACAAUGGGCGCAAGCCUGAUGCAGCCAUGCCGCGUGUAUGAAGAAGGCCUUCGGGUUGUAAAGUACUUUCAGCGGGGAGGAAGGUGUUGUGGUUAAUAACCGCAGCAAUUGACGUUACCCGCAGAAGAAGCACCGGCUAACUCCGUGCCAGCAGCCGCGGUAAUACGGAGGGUGCAAGCGUUAAUCGGAAUUACUGGGCGUAAAGCGCACGCAGGCGGUCUGUCAAGUCGGAUGUGAAAUCCCCGGGCUCAACCUGGGAACUGCAUUCGAAACUGGCAGGCUUGAGUCUUGUAGAGGGGGGUAGAAUUCCAGGUGUAGCGGUGAAAUGCGUAGAGAUCUGGAGGAAUACCGGUGGCGAAGGCGGCCCCCUGGACAAAGACUGACGCUCAGGUGCGAAAGCGUGGGGAGCAAACAGGAUUAGAUACCCUGGUAGUCCACGCCGUAAACGAUGUCUACUUGGAGGUUGUGCCCUUGAGGCGUGGCUUCCGGAGCUAACGCGUUAAGUAGACCGCCUGGGGAGUACGGCCGCAAGGUUAAAACUCAAAUGAAUUGACGGGGGCCCGCACAAGCGGUGGAGCAUGUGGUUUAAUUCGAUGCAACGCGAAGAACCUUACCUGGUCUUGACAUCCACAGAACUUUCCAGAGAUGGAUUGGUGCCUUCGGGAACUGUGAGACAGGUGCUGCAUGGCUGUCGUCAGCUCGUGUUGUGAAAUGUUGGGUUAAGUCCCGCAACGAGCGCAACCCUUAUCCUUUGUUGCCAGCGGUCCGGCCGGGAACUCAAAGGAGACUGCCAGUGAUAAACUGGAGGAAGGUGGGGAUGACGUCAAGUCAUCAUGGCCCUUACGACCAGGGCUACACACGUGCUACAAUGGCGCAUACAAAGAGAAGCGACCUCGCGAGAGCAAGCGGACCUCAUAAAGUGCGUCGUAGUCCGGAUUGGAGUCUGCAACUCGACUCCAUGAAGUCGGAAUCGCUAGUAAUCGUGGAUCAGAAUGCCACGGUGAAUACGUUCCCGGGCCUUGUACACACCGCCCGUCACACCAUGGGAGUGGGUUGCAAAAGAAGUAGGUAGCUUAACCUUCGGGAGGGCGCUUACCACUUUGUGAUUCAUGACUGGGGUGAAGUCGUAACAAGGUAACCGUAGGGGAACCUGCGGUUGGAUCACCUCCUUACCUUAAAGAA